rnacentral:lncRNA from 1 species
CGGCGCGACAUGUAAAAAAACCCUCCCCUGUUUAACAAAAUACUCAAUAACUCCAAAAUAAAGUUUUGAAUCAUCACCAAAAAGUAUACAGAUCUUUAGAUUAAUAUAACAAAGAAGUGUGUAAAGUUUUAAGCAAUAAUCAUAAAUUAUUUUUGAGAUACGGCACAACAUGUAAAAAAAAACCCUCCCCCUUUUUAACAAAAUACUCAAUAACUCAAAAAUGAAAUUUUGAAUCAUCACCAAAAAGUAUACAGAUCUUCAGAUUAAUAUAACAAAGACAUGUGUAAAGUUUUAAGCAAUAAUCAUAAAUUGUUUUUGAGAUAUGGUGCGACAUGUAAAAAAACCCUCCCCC